rnacentral:rRNA from 1 species
AAUCAACGCUGGCGGCGUGCCUAACACAUGCAAGUCGAACGAGAAAGUGGAGCAAUCCAUGAGUAAAGUGGCGACCGGGUGAGUAACACGUGACUAACCUACCUUCGGGUGGGGGAUAACCUCGGGAAACCGGGGCUAAUACCGCAUAACAUCUUUGAAGUGGAAAUUUCGAAGAUCAAAGGAGCAAUUCGCUGGAAGAGGGGGUCGCGGCUGGUUAGCUAGUUGGUGGGGUAACGGCCCACCAAGGCUAGAUCGGUAGCCGGCCUGAGAGGGCGCACGGCCACACUGGAACUGAAACACGGUCCAGACUCCUACGGGAGGCAGCAGUGGGGAAUUUUGCGCAAUGGGGGAAACCCUGACGCAGCAACGCCGCGUGGAGGAUGAAGUCCCUUGGGACGUAAACUCCUUUCGACCCGGACGAUAAUGACGGUACGGGUGGAAGAAGCCCCGGCUAACUUCGUG